rnacentral:ncRNA from 1 species
AUGUACAUGCAGGGGGGCUUCCGGCGAAAGCGGAAGCUGAGAUAGGCAAAUGCCUGACCCUUUGAACCUGUUGGUUAGGACCAACGUAGGGAGCAGACAAUGGGCGAUG